GAUGAAGAACGUAGCGAAAUGCGAUAAGUAGUGUGAAUUGCAGAAUUCAGUGAAUCAUCGAAUCUUUGAACGCACAUUGCGCCCCUUGGUAUUCCAUGGGGCAUGCCUGUUCGAGCGUCAUUUGUACCUUCAAGCUCUGCUUGGUGUUGGGUGUUUGUCUCGCCUCUGCGCGUAGACUCGCCUCAAAACAAUUGGCAGCCGGCGUAUUGAUUUCGGAGCGCAGUACAUCUCGCGCUUUGCACUCAUAACGACGACGUCCAAAAGUACAUUUUACACUCUUGACCUCGGAUCAGGUAGGGAUACCCGCUGAACUUAAGCAUAUCAAUAAGCGGAGGA
rnacentral:misc_RNA from 1 species